GUGGAGCAUGUGGUUUAUUCGAAGCAACGCGCAGAACCUUACCAGCCCUUGACAUUUGGUGCUACCACGGGAGACCGUGGGUUCCCUUCGGGGACGCCAAGACAGGUGCUGCAUGGCUGUCGUCAGCUCGUGUCGUGAGAUGUUGGGUUAAGUCCCGCAACGAGCGCAACCCUCGCCCUUAGUUGCCAGCAUUGAGUUGGGCACUCUAGGGGGACUGCCGGUGAUAAGCCGAGAGGAAGGUGGGGAUGACGUCAAGUCCUCAUGGCCCUUACGGGCUGGGCUACACACGUGCUACAAUGGCGGUGACAGUGGGCAGCGAAGGGGCGACCCGGAGCUAAUCUCCAAAAGCCGUCUCAGUUCGGAUUGUUCUCUGCAACUCGAGAGCAUGAAGUUGGAAUCCCUAGUAAUCGCGUAACACC
rnacentral:rRNA from 1 species